rnacentral:rRNA from 1 species
UACGGAGGGUGCAAGCGUUAUCCGGAUUUACUGGGUUUAAAGGGUGCGCAGGCGGAUAUGUAAGUCAGUGGUGAAAUCUCUAGGCUUAACCUGGAAAUUGCCGUUGAUACUAUAUAUCUUGAAUGCUGUGGAGGUAAGCGGAAUAUGUCAUGUAGCGGUGAAAUGCUUAGAUAUGACAUAGAACACCCAUUGCGAAGGCAGCUUACUACGCAGAUAUUGACGCUCAUGCACGAAAGCGUGGGGAGCAAACAGG